rnacentral:rRNA from 1 species
GGAUGAAAGCAGGGGACCGCAAGGCCUUGUGCUCCUGGAGCGGCCGAUAUCUGAUUAGCUAGUUGGUAGGGUAAAGGCCUACCAAGGCAUCGAUCAGUAGCUGGUCUGAGAGGACGACCAGCCACACUGGAACUGAGACACGGUCCAGACUCCUACGGGAGGCAGCAGUGGGGAAUUUUGGACAAUGGGCGCAAGCCUGAUCCAGCAAUGCCGCGUGAGUGAAGAAGGCCUUCGGGUUGUAAAGCUCUUUUGUCAGGGAAGAAACGGUGCGGGCUAAUACCCUGCACUAAUGACGGUACCUGAAGAAUAAGCACCGGCUAACUACGUGCCAGCAGCCGCGGUAAUACGUAGGGUGCAAGCGUUAAUCGGAAUUACUGGGCGUAAAGCGUGC